UUCAAUUUAUUAUUCUGAUUAUCGUAGUAUAUAAUCAGGUAAGCACUAGUUCUACAUACAAUAUCCGAGGGACCACGAUUUCCAUGUUGGAUUCAUGAUCACCAGGAGUGAAGCACCAGGAUACCAUAAAUACGUCGAUUAAAAUUCACAGUUGUUAGGAACCUGGACUUUCUUUUGUUGCUAACGCACAACAUAUCCUUUAAGUUCAGAUAUUUGAUUUGAAAUGCAGCAGGAGUAAGUAUCAGUACUGAUUCUACUAUGUAUGUGCAGUAUUCCAGGAACAUGACGAUGUCUCUGCUCGAUUGUAGACGAUCCAAGAUGAAAUGGUCAGUGCCAUGUGUGAAGAUAGGAGGUUGGGCUGCUAUGAACAUAGCAGGUGGCUAAAAAUGGCGCACAUAACAGCCUCCAGCUUUGGUUAUGGAGAUGGUGAAGGGCUUGAGAGGUUUAGAAAGCAGAGGAUGCAUUGAGAAGACAUCUUAUUAGCACAUGGAUUUGUAAAUUUCACUUGUGGUAGUGGCCUGAUGUUAUGUGCAUACAUCUCUUGGGGUCUAAAUAAAUACAUCCAUCUUGGGGCCUGAUGUUAUGUGCAUACAUCUCUUGGAUUCUUUGUUUUGUUUUUGCUUAUUCCAUACUGCUGUUGGAUUCUC